UCUAUUGUGACAGAUCAUAAUUGUAGUGAACUUAAGAUUCAUUCAUAAAUAUUUAUAUAUUUCUUUAGAA
rnacentral:tRNA from 1 species